rnacentral:rRNA from 1 species
GGAACGUUAAGGGCGUCGAGCGGCGGACGGGUGAGUAAUGCCUGGGAAAUUGCCCUGAUGUGGGGGAUAACCAUUGGAAACGAUGGCUAAUACCGCAUAAUGCCUUCGGGCCAAAGAGGGGGACCUUCGGGCCUCUCGCGUCAGGAUAUGCCCAGGUGGGAUUAGCUAGUUGGUGAGGUAAGGGCUCACCAAGGCGACGAUCCCUAGCUGGUCUGAGAGGAUGAUCAGCCACACUGGAACUGAGACACGGUCCAGACUCCUACGGGAGGCAGCAGUGGGGAAUAUUGCACAAUGGGCGCAAGCCUGAUGCAGCCAUGCCGCGUGUAUGAAGAAGGCCUUCGGGUUGUAAAGUACUUUCAGUCGUGAGGAAGGUAGUGUAGUUAAUAGCUGCAUUGCUUGACGUUAGCGACAGAAGAAGCACCGGCUAACUCCGUGCCAGCAGCCGCGGUAAUACGGAGGGUGCGAGCGUUAAUCGGAAUUACUGGGCGUAAAGCGCAUG